GACGAACGCUGGCGGCGUGCUUAACACAUGCAAGUCGAACGGUAAGGCCCUUCGGGGUACACGAGUGGCGAACGGGUGAGUAACACGUGGGUGAUCUGCCCUGCACUUCGGGAUAAGCCUGGGAAACUGGGUCUAAUACCGGAUAGGACCACUGCCUGCAUGGGUGGUGGUGGAAAGCUUUUGCGGUGUGGGAUGGGCCCGCGGCCUAUCAGCUUGUUGGUGGGGGGAUGGCCUACCAAGGCGACGACGGGUAGGCGGCCUGAGAGGGUGACCGGCCACACUGGGACUGAGAUACGGCCCAGACUCCUACGGGAGGCAGCAGUGGGGAAUAUUGCAAAAUGGGCGCAAGCCUGAUGCAGCGACGCCGCGUGAGGGAUGACGGCCUUCGGGUUGUAAACCUCUUUCAGCACCGACGAAGCGCAAGUGACGGUAGGUGCAGAAGAAGGACCGGCCAACUACGUGCCAGCAGCCGCGGUAA
rnacentral:rRNA from 1 species